rnacentral:rRNA from 1 species
UGGGGAAUAUUGGACAAUGGGGGCAACCCUGAUCCAGCAAUGCCGCGUGUGUGAAGAAGGCCUUCGGGUUGUAAAGCACUUUUAUCGGGAACGAAACAUUGUCGGCCAAUACCCGGCAAGACUGACGGUACCCGAGGAAUAAGCACCGGCUAACUCCGUGCCAGCAGCCGCGGUAAUACGGAGGGUGCAAGCGUUAAUCGGAAUUACUGGGCGUAAAGCGUGCGCAGGCGGUUUGUUAAGUCUGCUGUGAAAUCCCCGAGCUCAACUUGGGAAUUGCAGUGGAUACUGGCAAGCUGGAGUACGGUAGAGGAAGGUGGAAUUCCCGGUGUAGCAGUGAAAUGCGUAGAGAUCGGGAGGAACACCAGUGGCGAAGGCGGCCUUCUGGACCAGUACUGACGCUCAUGCACGAAAGCGUGGGGAGCAAAC